CACUCUAAGCGAUUUUGGGUUAAAAUAUAAAUAACACUAUAGGAGGAAGAAAUGGAUUCUCCAUGUAUAAAGGACAGCUAUGAAAAAUUUUUGUGGGUUUGUGUCUAUAAGUAAGACUUCAUAACAUGAAAGCACAAUUUAAAAGUUUUCCCUAUUAAGUCCUGGAAUUAAUUAAUAAAAUAUUUAAAAAAAUUAAAAGUUUUCCCUAUUAAGUCCUGGAAUUAAUUAAUAAAAUAUUUAAAAAAAUUAAAAGUUUUCCCUAUUAAGUCCUGGAAUUAAUUAAUAAAAUAUUUA
rnacentral:misc_RNA from 1 species